AAUAAAAGCUGCUAUAAAUAAAAUAACCGACAACACAUUGAAGUCUUUGAAUUGCACAAAGUGAAACCUCCAAGUAAACAAGGCAACUCGUGUUGAACGGCGGCACAAUGAAGUUGGUGAUUUUGGCUUUAAGCAUUUUCCUGCUCUUCACAAUCAGCGCAGCCAUUGAGAUGAUGGCGGUUGGCCGUCCCGGCUCACCUGACUCGAAGACCCAACGUAUGAUCAUUGAGCCACCUUAUAACUGGUUUGUGCGGCCCUACCCCCGCCUGGGCGCACAACUAAAUGAUUAGCCCCAAGAAGCUGCCAUACUGCAGUCAGUAUUCUUCUUUUAUGCCUGGUGUGCCAAAGCGGCGGGAGUGCAUCAAGUCUGAAUGCUUCAAGACUGCUCGUGCCUCCAUGUUCUUUAGUUAGUUUGCAAAGUAUCAAAAAGACAAAAAAUAAAGACAUGUUAUAAAGCAA